CGAUAAGGGGCUGCACACAAUGAGCUAGUCAGCUAAAACAAAAACAGAAUUACCUGGAAAAACUCAGCAGGUCUGGCAGCAUUGGCGGAGAAGAAAAGAGUUGACGUUUCGAGUCCUCAUGACCCUCCGACAGAACUUGAGUUCGAGUCCAGGAAAGAGCUGAAAUAUAAGCUGGUUUAAGUUUGCAAACCCCAACAAUUAUGAAGUAAAAGCUUGAACAGAAGCUCAUAAAUGCCAUGGCUACUAGAACAGGUCAGAAGCUGGCUAUUUUGUGACCAGUGACCCACAACAAACAGGAAGCUGACUGGAAAUUUUGCAAUUUGAAAUGAGACAGAACGAACUACUUAAAAAUGCAAGGCCAUCCUUCAAGAGGAAGGUGAAAAACAAACAAAUCACCCUCAGGGGAAUGUGAAAAGGGGGACAUAUAAUUCAAAGACCCAUUGAAACUCACCACUGUCUAAGGAAGAGACAUUAAUAUGCAAAGUGCUGAAUAUUGAAACAAUGGCUGCCACCGACAGACCCACCCAAAACUCCUUGGAAAUACACAACGGGUGAAGCAUUUCAGGCCAGGCUGCAGCCACUGCAGAGAGAUUGCAAGUGACACAGGGAGUGUCAAGAAAGCUUUCAGCAGAAGAAACAGACUGAAAGCUGCUCUCUCUUUUGGGACAACAGUAUUACCCAGGUUGGAAGCCAACUUUUCUAGAAAUUUACAAGUGAACCGAGAUCUUGUAAUAAUUACAAUAUCUCCUACAUCUGACCACAUCCACAAAUCUAGCUAAUCCAAAUCAUCCGCAACGUUUAAAAAUUUAUGCCUCCAGAACAAUCAAAGUACACUUAACCAUACAUACUCUUUUAACUUUUUUUAUUGGACUCUAACUUCCCUUAUUUCUGAUAUCUGUGUGUGUGAGACAUCACAUUUUUAUUAUU